AAGGGUGUAGUUCAAUGGUAGAGCACAUACUUUUGGCAUGCAUGAGGUCCUUAGUUCAGUCCCUAGCACAUGUG
rnacentral:tRNA from 1 species